GGUAUACACAACUUGUUACAGUACUUUGGUUGUUGUUCUAAAAGUGACUUUGAGGAGAUGUUUUCUGAGGUACCCUGACAUGGGGACCUACAUCUUGACCUACAUCUGUUGCAAUAGUGGCAGUGGUCCCUCCCCUAUCCAAAGGGUUUUGAAGAGUAGGAGGAGAGACGAGGUGUAUCCAAAUGAGAAUCUCCCCCCACUGACCUCUGUUGACUCCCAUCUGUUUUGAGAUCAAGGAGCUGACGACUCCUCGCGUGACCCGUUCACACGCACGCAGACACACAUGGUCCGCACGGAUGAGGCCGAUGUUUCGACAGAGUUGAGAUGCUGCCAAUGUGUCCGACAACACUUGUUUGAAUCUGAUCGUUACACGCGCCAGCUCUGGCAAUAUCCGGCUGACAGCGUGAGGGAAUUUCAAGAGCGCCCCUAAUUGUUUUUUUUCCUCAAAGUUCUGAGUUUAACAGCAGAGCAGAAUCC